CCUUAACAAACGCAGAGAGGAGGAAGAUGGGAACUGUCAGCCAACAGAACCAGCAAAGGAAACACACAACUAAACUGUAAAUCAGGACGUUUGCCCACAUUUUCUUCACAUUAUGAAUUUGUGCAUCAAAUUUGUUUAGUCUGACAUUUUAUUCAGACAACAAACACACCCUUAGCUUCGCAUAGCGGCGCUGACCUUUAACCCAAUUCUUCCUGUCCCUCGGGCAUGUAUGGUUACUAAUCACAUUCCAACUUCAAUCUCCUGUCUUGUCGCAGUGACGGCUAAGAGAGACACUGAGUCUGUAAACGCAGCGAAUGGAAGCGUGUCUGUAUGGAUCGCAAAGAUUUAUGAGUCUUCAUGUCGAGUCAGUCAUUUCUCAGAGUAACAACAGCACAAGUGGAGUCUAUUUCCUGCGGAGGCACACUUUCACAGCCCUGUGCAGUGCAUUGCAGUAGAUUAAUCACACAGACACGUUCCUCCUGAAGCCGAACCCAUUGAAUUUGUAAUCGUUCAUCACAAGCUGUGUUGAAAGACAAAGCUGCUUUCAAAAUGUGCAAAGCCCUACGAAGUCCUAAUCAGUGCACACAUGAUAAACGUACAAAUGCAGGUAAAAAUUCCCUUCUGAUCAAUUCUAUCUUGAUGAGGACCCAUAAAUAAAUUCAUCUGCAUUCACACUGCAGAUCACUAAUCGAGAUCGUUUUCAACUCCAUCUCAUUUGCGUCUGUCGUUUUGUCUUGGUUUGUAUUGAGAAGCAGGAACCAGGACAAAUAUCCCCUCUCCUUCUCCUCCUCUUCGUCAUUCUUAACUCUCUGCUUCUGACUCUGAUCCCAACCUGAGUGGAAUACCAAGUAGCUGGUCUGUCUGCUGGGCUGAGCAAAGUGCUCACAUGCUCGGUGCUCGUCCAGGCUUCCUUAGAUUAACACCACUGCUACCCAGUGCUAGAAUGCAGAGUCUCUCUUCUGUCGUCUUACUCACGAAACCGGGUCUACUAAGAUCAGAUGAAGCUUGAAAAAUGUCUGUACCUCUUUUAAAGUAGUCAGAACCUUUCAUUGCUCAUUGGACUGGGCAUUGUAUGUUGUGCAUUUUAAAGUUUAGGUGCCUCUUGACAUCCACCUCAUACUUUAACCCUAUUCUGACCCCAGUCAAGUUGAAAUGGUGCAGAUGUGAGUAUUUUGCAUUGUGUUAAUUGUUUUCUGAUUACUUUGUACGGUUAUUAUGCUAUGAAAUCUUGAUUCCCAUUAAGAAAACCAUGCUGCUACAAACAGGAAGCAGACAGUGACAAGAUUCUGAUAUAAUGGUGUUCGCUGAUGAGAUAGGACAGGGAUUGAGAUGCUACGCUUCUUAAGCUGGAGUAGCAAUGCGUAUGCAGCAUCCAUUUUUUAAAUUCAACAUUUCUACACAGGUAUUAAACCAUCUGGCGUCAGCAUCUUGUUGCUCUUUACUUUAAACAGCCUGGCCGUAGGUUUCUUCUCAUAACGAACCUCAGCCACAGCCCUGCGCGCUAGUUAGCGUUAGCGCAUUUAUAUGAGCUACAGCGAAAUAAUAAUGUCUGUGUGAUUUGACUCAAAGGAACUGUUGUUUCCAUGGAAACGCAAGAUAAAGUUACAGGCUAAGCUGGAGGCAAUAAACCAAGGCUCUAACAAGAUUGAUGUUUCAUUGAUUUUGCUGUUUUAAUUUUGUCAAGUGAAAACUCCUCCAACCCAGUAAAGCGAGAUGUGUCAUUGAAGGUCGAGAUUAAACGAGCACGACUGAUGCGGGUUAAACAGAAACAACAGUAGGUCUUAGAACCCGGGUGGAAAAUCACUGUUUCAGUAACUUGAUUUGAAUUGGCUUGUUUUGAGAAAAUAAUCAUGACUGUAGUUGGUCCAUACUGUAAUAAUGUUGUUGUUGAGUGGAGGUACUGUAGUUUUAAUAAUAGCAUCUCCUUAUUUUCUCUCUGUUACUCUUUUACUGAUUUUAUCUGACAGGAAUACUGAGCUUCUGAAAAAUGCUAAGUGAUGGUGUGAAAUGGUUUUGAGAGCUUGUGGGUGCCUGAUGAAUAAUUUAGAAGUGUUACAGUAGAGAGUAGGAGCCUCUCGCGUCCAUUAUUCAUUCUUCCUGCUUAGACCAACAUUACCUGCAAAGAGAAUAGCUUGAAGUGUGUACACAUGUACUUGACCCCAUCAAGUUAGAAAAGUGUCCUAAUGCACUGAUUUAAAAUCUCAUUAAAAGAAUAUUGUUUAUAUUCUGUAACACAGUUGAUCAAAUGAAUUCCACUUGAAAAACUGAAAAUCGGGCAACACAGGGAUUAGUCUAAAUAAAUUCUGGACAAAGACAGGAUUUUAUGAGACGGCAGGGUCGGGUUUUAAAUAUUUGAUCCUCCACACAACAAAACCCUACGUGACCCCAAACACCGUGGUCCAAUCACCAGAAGGCGUCUCUGUAAUAGAAAGAGAAAGGAUCACCCCCCUCCUUCUCCUCCAUCUGUCGGUGAUAUGACAGGCAAAAGACAGUCAGAGAGUAAAGAGAGUCUCAGUGUCUUAAAAAAGGUGUGGCUCUAACAAUUAGCCAGUUCAAUGCUGCCCUAUUUAAGAUGCUACAGUAUUAAAUGUUUAUAUAUAUUAAUAAUUGCAGUUUUAUGACAAUUUAUUUUAGUUUUUUUAAACAUUUAAUUUGGGCCUUUGCAGGAAUAAAAUAGGAUGUAGAUCAGCUGAUAAUUUAAAUUAUUGUUGUUUUGAAUUUUGUAACACAUUUUGUCAGGGGGUUUUAUCAGGGGGACGGAAUCCGUAGGAGGCGGAGCCUCCUGCAGAUUUUGAACUGAUUAAACUUUUGAGAAUAAAGCUCCACAACAAGCAAAGCCACCAGUGAUCAAAGUAAUAAAGGCCAAUUCCAGUUAAUGGCUGUCACUGCCUUGUUGUGCCUGUGUUGACACGUCCCUGAUUAAAAUGGAUCAUUCACAGGAGUUGAGUUAGAAAUGUUGGCCUUUGCAUUUGGCGCAGUUACAGUCACAGAGAAAAUUAAUAAGACACCGUAUUAGCGGAGGAAAUGAAUGAAGAAAAGAGGGGAAUUUAAUUAAAGGGAUGACAUGAAAGAGAAUCAUAAUCUGGUGUGUAUUGACUUCACUUGUACCACAAGACAUUCAAUCACCCUGUAUUUUUGCUCAUUCAGCUAGCAGUUAUUAGUUCUUGUUACCAGAGGAGUUCAGCAGGGGGUGGGACGGCGGUGAGCUUGGUCCUAGAGAGAUCUCAGUGGGGGAUGGUGGGAAUCAGCAUGUGAGUGCUGGGCGUGGACCCGUCUCGUCGCAGCCCCCCCACCCCUGAAGUGCGUAGGGUUUUUUCAGCUCCUGCACGCCCCCGUCUCCUCUGCGCAUGUUUAAUCAACCAGUAUGGUUGCCAUGUCAACCGCAGCGCAAAUCUGAGAAUAGACUGGGUACUUCAGAGCUGUGACCCACUUACUGUAUGUCAACAAAUUCAGUGGGACAAUAGUGAAUGAGACAUUACGCAGAUAACCCCUCCAGCAAAAAGGACGGUACAGGCCAGGUCCGAGAGGCUCGGUUGCUGGUUUCCUCUUUUUGUGUUUCACUAAGGGAUGAACGCGCAUGGACAUGACUGCGUGACUGUGGAGCAGGGACGUGUCGUUUGUCUGUGCCCAGUUCAGCGCAGGAACAAAGGGGCAAAUGUCAGAAACUCGGAGACGAUGGGAGGAAUGUUCGUUUGCUUUGAGUUAGUGCACUGUAGUUGGGAUUUAAGCCACGGAUCACAAACAAUGGACAGCCUGUAACAGUAAUAACAGCUUGUUUUUAGCAUCUGCUAGGUUUCAAAAAUACUUUCCCACUCGCAGCCUCUCCAACUUUCAAAAAAACAAUUGGUGGAACUCCCUCGACUCGGCCUGGAGUGAAGCAAAUUAGGGCUCGGAACAAAGAACAAGCGAGGGAGGAGUGACGGGAAAAACCUGCACAAUAGACCUCACUGACAUUUCGACUUGAAGAUACCUUUUUUAGUGAUUGUGGGAAAGUCGCUCCAUUGUAUAACACAAACGCUUCAAUAGUGCCGUUACUAGUUUAGUUACAGAGCUGCAUGAAGUGUAAUAUUUCAAACGCGUUGCAUUAGAUUAACAAAAGAAAUUUGAUUAUGCUGAAUCCACCCCAGACUCCCCCUGUCCUCCACAAAGCUAUUUGCAUAACAUUUGCAUUAUUCAUCAGUCCCUACUUUAAUGGGCCGGAGGUAUAACCCCCACAUUUUCCUCCACCCAGUUGGAAAACCACGUAAUUAAUAAAUCAUGUUCACUCUCUGCAUCUUUACCUUGUGUAAUACACACAGUGGCUAACACACAUUAUCCAGGUACUCUGUUUAUCUAGGAAUGUGUGAACACUGCCAUUGCACCUUCGAGGGCACAUUGUUUGGAACUGCUCAUGGAACGAUCCAUCUUUGCUUUUAAUUCUUUGCAGAUAUUGGGUGUUUGAAGCCCUGAAUCUUUGCCAAGCUUCUGCCUCUGUGAUGUAGUAUUUUCUGCCUUUAGCUAAAUCAGGUGAAUCUGGUACUUUGGCUAGUGAAGAGCAUCCUUUUUCUUCCUUUUGACGAACGCAUGAGUAGCUUUGCUCUGUUUUGAGUCAUUAAUUAUCUGUAGUAUUACUGUAACGAGCAUUUUGGCUUUGCAGCGUGUAGCUGAACUGGUGCAGGGAGUAUAGAUCAUAAACCUUCAUAUGCCAUUGAUAAACUCCAGUGCCUCAGCUCCACUGGCAUCAUGCCCAGUGUAUAACACUGACGCCACCAUGUUUGACCGAUGAUGCUGUGCUCAUUUUCUUCCCAUCAUUCUGCUACAGAAAAGUUUCAGCAUGCAUCUUAUAUUUUUAAAUGAAAAUUGUCUUUAACACCACAAAAAACAGGAUGUCAGUAAAAUGGCCGCAGAGAAAUGAUGUGAUAUUUGAGCUUUCUCGAUUAGCCUUAGUUGAGAUUUGGCUUUUACUUUGAAAUCUGCAAGCUCAAAGUGUAUCAAGCCCAAUGAUUGUCCAUUUACUGUAUUUCUUUGACAAAAUAUCAAUAUAAGGCUUCAUAUAGAACAGCUUGCCAAGUUGGUGACCUGAUCAAACAGAAGGCGGCGCGGUGCCCUGCAGAGUCUUAUCUUGGCUCAGGAAAUGCUAACAGGUGUGCCUUUCUCAGUUUUUCCAUCAGCAGCAAGUGACAGUACCCGCGUGAAGCUCCCAAACAUUGCAGGGUAAGUUCAGAAUGACCGUGUUCUUCUCGUGGACAGGAUGUGACUGCAAAGCCUUAUUUCAGUCCUGCCUUCACGUCGAUGCGAGGCUGCUGGGCGUUGGUUUGGUCCCUGGUGCAGCAGCGCUACAUUUGGCUAGCGGCGCCCACCUGCUCUGCCUGACUCAUAAUCAGAGAUUUACUGCCUCAGAAGAGGAAAACAGACGGGCAUUAGCGCGCUGAGUGCACUCACUGACACCUACGUGCUCUUUCAGGCCGAAGUACUUGUUUAUUUUCCAUUUAUAGUCUUUUAUGGUUCUACCCUAAAUUAUACAAUUAACCUAACAUAGGUUUGUGACGUAUUAUAAAAUAAAACUGUUUUGGAAACAAAGUGAUUGACAAGCCUGUUUUUAGCAGUAAAUUUAGCUCAGUUGAAGGACCAGUGCCAUCUGUUCCUUAACUCUGACUCAAACUGUGUUGGACAGCAACUUGUUCUGGAUCAUAUUUCACACAUUGUUUUAACCUAUUUAUAAUCCUAUGUGUCUGAAAAGCCACAGUACAGCUUUGUUUUUGCAUAUUAACCUUUCAUGAAAAAGAACAGACAUUAUAUAAAAGUGGUCGAGUGAUUUAUGUUUAGCAGACGUAUGUUCAGCAGCUUUUUAUGUAUAUAUGCCUGUACAAAUUUCCAUUGUUACAGUUGUCGGGAGCUUAAACCAAAGUUAAACUACUUAAAUGGAAACAUUGAAAGUGAAACCUUCAUGUCAAACAUUUUUUACCACUUUGGAAAUUAUCUUUGAAUUUGUGCCACUUUAAUGUCCAUUGGGCCGAGUCAGACGCCUGGACCACAUUACCUGCCAUUUGUUGACUUGAAGGCAGGUUUUCCUUAUGGUGAGUAUCAGCUUGCAAUAAUCUGCCAUAAGCAUGUUAAAAAAGUGUCUGUGGUUUGUUUUCCUGACUGCAUCAAAGUUUAACAAGUGACAGAAAAAUGAUUACGUCAUCAAAAGAAGUCCUCUGUAUUUUGUGCCAGCUGCACUGAGUCAUACACAGAGGACAUGACUGCACAUUUUACCAUCUUUUAGGUUCUCACAAGAAAGAUUUGGCAGUAAGUGAAAGUCAGUCCACCGAGCUCGCAGAAUAGGCCCAGGCUUGGUCCAAAUGGACGUGGCACACGGAAAUGCACAGCUUGCAUGGCUGCAUCUUUCAGACGGGUGAGCAUUCGUGUUAGUGGCCAAAACAGGCAGAUCUGCCUUCUGAACUGGAAUGCUUACGUACACACCUAGUAAUGCAACCAAGAAGUAACACAGUACGUCAUAGUGUGCAGGGUUUCUCUGGAUCAUAGGACAGACAUUGUCAUCCUCAUAGAUCAUCUCGCAGCACUUAGUUAUUUUCUACAUCUUGCUUUAAUUCACACUUUCCUUUUUGGUUUCUCUCAUCUUCCCUGUCUUUCUUGCUUCCCACGCGCCGACACUGUGAACUAUUCCUGUGUUGCUGAAAUGUCAUCAGCAACGGUGGGUGAGGAGAGAAUAACCAGCGACUGCACUUGGCCAGUGCCAUGGCAACUGUUUGAGCUUGUGUGUGUGGCUGCGACUCCAGCAUAGGAAGCCAUGCCUGGCUGUCACAUGCAAUACGUCCGACAGGGAGGGGGAAAAAGGAGCCCAUGCCAUGGAGGCACCAGGAUCAUUGACCCGUCAUCCUCCUGCUGCAGACCCUUCGCUUCACCACUAGAGCUUCCUUCGCACCGUGGGCACCUUCACGCUGACAGGAAAAAGUGGCAGAUGGCGGAACUUUUUUCUAGGGGCAUUCUAGGCAUUAUUUCAGAUUUUAUUAUGUUAUGAAUGGGAAAUGACUAAAUGCAGGUUUAUCAGCUGAAAUGAAUGAGUUUGCAUUUUUGUAUUCAUGCAUAUGCAGCAUGAAAAUCCUACUGUGCCUAUGACCAAGAGAAAGAGGCAAAGAAGCUCACAGUAAGCCUAUUAAUGUCUGCUGGUUGCUCUCCAGUAUUGGUUUGCCAGUUGCCAUGGCAACCAGGCCUUAGGUAAUGUUCACUACAGUGCUCUGGAGAUGUAUAAUAAAUAUAAACAUUACCCUGUAACCCUGUAACAUCUUGAUGUAAAACAGCCCAAUUAAUGACUAUUAUUUGUGCUUGCAGUAUCGUUUGAUGUGAACCGUUAAGAUGUACGUGUGUGUGUGUGUGGUUAGUCUGUCUUCAUUUAGCAAAAAUCCAAAUUCCGGUCCUUAUCACCCAGCGCCUGAAGAAGUCAACAGGCGACAGCACUCCCGUCUUAAGUGCUGAUGUGUGUUCGCGCCCAGUCAAGCUGGGGGAAAUCAAAAGAUACUGAAAGAUUAAGGAGGUCAGGUUUUACAACUCCACGGGGGAAGCCAGGGAAAGAGGCUUUACAAGCCAUUGACUAGUAUGGAACAGCGAUGGGCUUCUUUCACAGAGAUCAUGAGCUCUAGCACAGGAUUGUGACUUUUUCCUUUUUAUUUCCUCCCAUAAAUAAAAGGGGCAUAAAAAUGUAUGUCUUUUACACCUCAGCAUUAAAGACUUUGUUGGUGCUGUGGAGAUCAUAUCAUUCCAGCAUUGUCCUAUAUCUAUUGAAAAGCCCGGCCACACGAGAAGCCAGGCAGUCUGCCAGAAACACUUAUCAUCCUGUCAUUCGUUUUUCACUGGCUUCACAGCUCAGUUGAGCUGUACGCCGAGAGUGGAGUGCCUAAAGAGAUGGGGCCAACAGAGUGAUCUCUGAAUAAAUCUGACUGGUUGGAGAACUAAAAUAUAAAUGCCUACUCUAAAUAAUAUUUACUGCAUAUAAAUAUAAAAACAAAAUAAAAAAAAGUUUUCUGCUGUUCUAAACAUACUUAGAAAAGUAAAUUAGUGUUUUUUUUAUAUAAAUGUAUCAUCCGUAGUCUGCUUCAUAUCAAAUUGACACCAACAGAUAUAUUAUAUCGACUUAAAGUUUUUAUACGAUCAUAUUUCAAAAGCUUUGUGUUGCCAGGCUCUGUAAAACCUGCCGGAGUCCUUCGGAAUCAACCUGUAUCACAUAUUGUACUUUUGAUGAACCUAUUAAAAUGUGUGUACUAAUUUCUUACAAUCGCCUAUUAUUUUUAAGUAUCCAGUCACAGUUGAUUUAAAUGCUAAAUGAAGUGUUUUGAGACAAAUCUAUAAGGCUGCAUAUGUCAAAUUAAAGAGUCCCGCUGUUCUGAUUAUUCAU